rnacentral:rRNA from 1 species
UACGAAGGACCCGAGCGUUAUCCGGAUUUAUUGGGUUUAAAGGGCGCGUAGGCGGGUUCUCAAGUCCGGGGUGAAAUCCCACAGCUCAACUGUGGAACUGCCUCGGAUACUGGGGGCCUCGAGGGUGGUAGGGGUAUGCGGAACUAUCGGUGGAGCGGUGAAAUGCGUUGAUAUCGAUAGGAACUCCGGUGGCGAAGGCGGCAUACUGGACCACAUCUGACGCUGAGGCGCGAAAGCCAGGGGAGCAAACGGG